GGGUCGAUGGCGUAGUUGGUUAUCGCAUCUGUCUAACAACCACCCCCUUCUUGCCAGCGCUGGCUUGCCUUGUACGAGGUACUGCUGUUGGCAGAUGGGUGUGGUCCACAGAAGGUCGCCAGUUCGAACCUGGCUCGACUCA